AGCGAACGUUAGCGGCAGGCCUAACACAUGCAAGUCGAGCGAGAAAGAGGACUUCGGUCCUCGAGUACAGCGGCGUACGGGUGAGUAACACGUGGGUAAUCUGCCCUUCGGUGGGGACAACAACCCGAAAGGGUUGCUAAUACCGCAUUCGCCGGCAUGACCUGUGGAUUAUGCCGGGAAAGUGGGCCUCUACUUGUAAGCACACGCCGAAGG
rnacentral:rRNA from 1 species